UGGCGAACGGGUGAGUAAUACAUCGGAACGUGUCCGCUCGUGGGGGACAACCGGCCGAAAGGUUGGCUAAUACCGCAUGAGUUCUACGGAAGAAAGAGGGGGACCCGCAAGGGCCUCUCGCGAGCGGAGCGGCCGAUGACUGAUUAGCCGGUUGGUGAGGUAACGGCUCACCAAAGCAACGAUCAGUAGCUGGUCUGAGAGGACGACCAGCCACACUGGGACUGAGACACGGCCCAGACUCCUACGGAAGGCAGCAG
rnacentral:rRNA from 1 species